GAUGGCGCGGCGAAGGGGAGUACGCGUAUAUAUCUGCCUCGAGGCCCGGGACCCGGCGGGAAACUGCCGGUAAUACCGGAUAACAUCUCCGGAUCAAAGGUGUGAUUCCGCCUCGAGAUGAGUCUGCGUCCUAUUAAUGCUUGUUGGUGUGGUAACGGCGCACCAAGGCGAAGAUGGGUACCGGGUGUGAGAGCAUGGCCCGGCUCACUGGGACUGAGACACUGCCCAGACACCUACGGGUGGCUGCAGUCGAGAAUCUUCGGCAAUGGGCGAAAGCCUGACCGAGCGACGCCGCGUGCGGGAUGAAGGCCCUCGGGUUGUAAACCGCUGUCAGUAGGGAGCAAAUCUCUUGGGGUUAUCCCCUUGAGUUGAGCGAUCUUCAGAGGAAGUACGGGCUAAGUUCGUGCCAGCAGCCGCGGUAAGACGAACCGUACGAACGUUAUUCGGAAUCACUGGGCUUAAAGAGUCCGUAGGCGGCCGUGUAGGUGGGAUGUGAAAGCCCUCGUCUCAACCGAGGAAUUGCGUUCCAAACCACAUGGCUUGAGGAGGAUAGAGGUGAGCGGAACUGAUGGUGGAGCGGUGAAAUGCGUUGAUAUCAUCAGGAACACCAGAGGCGAAGGCGGCUCACUGGGUCCUUUCUGACGCUGAGGGACGAAAGCUAGGGGGAGCAAACGGGAUUAGAUACCCCGGGUAGUCCUAGCUGUAAAACGAUGAGCACUAGAUCGAGGGGACUUCCACAUCUUCUCGGUCGA
rnacentral:rRNA from 1 species